AUGUUCCUCCCCUGGGUGUCUGUUCUUACACUACUUCCGACUCUGGAAGGGGCUAAUGGAGAGUCAGUGACACAACCUGAUGACCGAGUGACUGUAUCCCAAGGGGAACCAGUGCUGCUAAAAUGCACCUAUGACACUUCCUAUCGUACUCCUACGCUCUGGUGGUACGAGCAGCACCCAAAUGAAGCCCCUCGCCUCUUGCUGACACAAUAUGAAGCGUCCGAUGAGGAGGUGAGAAGGAGCCGGCGGGGGUUCUCCGCCACACCCGACAAUCAGGGGAAGACCUUCCACCUGAAGAAAAGCUCCAGCGAACUGCGCGACUCCGCCGUCUAUUACUGCGCCAUUAUAAGCUUUACAGAG